rnacentral:rRNA from 1 species
CGGCUUCGGGAUUGCAAUGAGCCGAAUUUACACCCCUUAGCGAGAAUCGAUUGGAGGGCAAGUCUGGUGCCAGCAGCCGCGGUAAUUCCAGCUCCAAUAGCGUAUAUUAAAGUUGUUGCAGUUAAAAAGCUCGUAGUUGGAUUUCUGGGAGGGUGCCGAUGUCCACUUAACGUGUGCGCAGCGGCGCCCUCUCAUCCUUCUGUUAGCGUCUCUUGGCAUUCAUUUGCUGGUGGCGGGCUCAGAUAUUUUACCUUGAGAAAAUUAGAGUGUUUCAGGCAGGCUUAGCCGGAAUACAUUAGCAUGGAAUAAUGGAAUAGGACUGAGGUCUCGUUGUUGGUUACGCGGACUCCAGUAAUGAUUAAUAGGGACAGUUGGGGGCAUUAGUAUUUAUUAGCUAGAGGUGGAAUUCUCUAAUUUGAUAAAGACUAACUUAUGCGAAAGCAUUUGCCAAGGAUGUUUUCAUUAAUCAAGAACGAAAGUUAGGGGAUCAAAGACGAUCAGAUACCGUCCUAGCCUUAACCAUAAACUAUGCCGACUCGGGAUCGGGAGCGUGUGUUAUCCGCUUUCGGC